rnacentral:rRNA from 1 species
UACGAAGGGGGCUAGCGUUGCUCGGAAUCACUGGGCGUAAAGGGUGCGUAGGCGGGUCUUUUAAGUCAGGGGUGAAAUCCUGGAGCUCAACUCCAGAACUGCCUUUGAUACUGAAGAUCUUGAGUUCGGGAGAGGUGAGUGGAACUGCGAGUGUAGAGGUGAAAUUCGUAGAUAUUCGCAAGAACACCAGUGGCGAAGGCGGCUCACUGGCCCGAUACUGACGCUGAGGCACG